CCAAUAUGGGGAAAAUGAUGAUCCCUCCAUUGUGAUCGAGUUUCAUGCUGGAGAACUUGAAGUACGGGAGGCCAUCUUGUGGAGCAUGUGGUGGAAAAUUCUGCUCAGAAUGACAUACAACUCCAUUGUAGAGGAGUACAUGACUUCGAUUGGUUUUCAUGACCAAUAGUUUACCAGUCACCGAGGGUCAUCAAUCAAUGAGGAGUUCUUGGUCUUGGUGGCAAGUUGAACCUUCACCAAUGUGGGCAGUUUUUCUCUCAAGACCUGGGUAAAACUGGACAAAAAGGCUCCUUGAGAUGCUCUUGGCAUGCUGUUCUAGGAGACCCAUGCUUCUUUUCCAAAUGGAAGAAGGUGGCCUGGAAAUAAGCUGCUAUCCCAUACACAAAGGACUGUAAUGAGGUGGCUGGUCAAGGAUCAUCUGAAAAUGAAAUAUCCUCCCAAUUGCUGUUCCUGCUUGACUGGUGGUCCUGGGCAUUUUAUCAUCCGCUGAGCACCACAUCUCAUUUUGUGUCUUUCGGUGGAUAAUUCUGAUCAGAGUGACUGCAAGGAAUGCAUCAUCGCAGAGGAGUACAUGACUUAGAUUGGUUGUGAUGACCAAUGGUUUACUAGUCACCGAGGGUCAUCAAUCAAGGGGUGUUUUUGGACUUGGAGGCAAGCUGGACCUUCAAAAAUGUGUGUAGUUUUUCUCUCAAGACCUGAGUGAAACUGCACAAAAAGGGACCUUGAGAUGCUCUUGGCAUGCUGUUAUAAGAGGCCCAUGCUUCUUUUCCAAA